AUUUUGCGAUGUCGUCCUACUCUACUUCAUUCCUUUCUUGUACCUCUGUAACUCUGUUCUUUUCUCAGAGGUUUAAACUCCGAACAUACAAUUAAGUAACAGGAAAUAAAUGUCCUUUUCUUGGGUAAUCUUUGCGGAGGAACAAAGAUUAGAUUAUGCGUUCCCUCGGCCUCAUUUAUACUGCUUGUCUGCCCUAUUCUUCUUCUAAACAUCCGGGGUGUGAAGGAGGAGAACCAGAGAAGAAUGCAAAUGUCAUCAAUUUGCUCCCCGCUAAUAUCGUUCACUCGUAGUCGUCACCAUUUUUCCUUCCCGCUUCAAUUUACCCGCCAUCAACAUCAUAAUUCUUUUUCUUCUUAUAAUGCAAAUGGUGUCAAUAUUUGUAGUAUAAUUGGGUCUCAUGGCCCAUGCGGCUUCGGGGUCCUUCCGGCCUACUACUCGUUUCUUUCUCGGCCAUCCUCCUCUAUUAUUGGUAUCACUAGUACUACCACUCGUAGUAGUCGGAGGAAGAGAAGCCGGUUUGCCGUGGUCUCUGCCAGCGGAGGCGGCUUGGAGAGAUUCACGGAACGAGCAAUCAAGGCCGUAAUCUACUCUCAAAGAGAAGCAAAAGAACUUGGCAGGGAUAUGGUAUUUCCCCAGCAUCUCUUGCUGGGUUUAAUCGCCGAGGAUGAGGAGGACCAUCGCUAUCAUUCUGUCCAUGAAGGCUUUCUUGGAUCUGGCAUCAGCCUACAACAGGCACGCGAUGUUGUUUGCACCAUCUGGCAUCAUCCUCAUCAAGAUCCUGCCGAUACGAAAAGCACUAUUGCUAUUGCGUCUCUGCCCUUCUCCAUUAGCACAAAGCUCGUGUUUGAGGCUGCGGUGCACCACUCCAGAAUCAGCUCUCAUCAUUUUAUAGCUCCAGAGCAUAUCUCUAUUGCCCUUUUCACCCUUGAUGAUGGCAGUGCCGCUCGAGUAAUCACGAGUUUGGGGGCAAAUAUCAAGCAGUUGGCAGCUGUGGCACUCUCCAAACUUCAACGGGAGAUUGCCAAAGAUGGUAGAGAGCCAUCUUUGGUAUCUAAAGGGAUGCAAGAAAAAUAUUUUUCUAGAAUGGCCUCUGUUUUCAAUUCCUCCAAAAUGCCAAGAGAGAGAGGUGCUUUAGAAAAGUUCUGUGUGGAUCUUACAGCCCGUGCUAGUGGCGGGUUCAUAGAUCCCGUUAUUGGCCGAGAAACCGAAUUUCAAAGAGUUAUUCAGAUACUUUGCCGCAGAACCAAAAAUAACCCCGUUCUUCUUGGUGAAAGUGGAGUUGGAAAAACGGCCAUUGCUGAAGGACUGGCAGUAAGCAUUGCAGAGGCAGAUGUUCCUUUUUUUCUCUUGACAAAACGUGUUAUGUCCUUGGAUAUAGCACUAUUAAUGGCUGGUGCAAAGGAGAGGGGGGAAUUAGAGGCACGUGUUACUGCAUUAAUCAACGAAGUGCUGAAAGCAGGUGAUGUCAUUCUUUUUAUUGAUGAAGUUCAUGUACUUGUUGGUUCCGAAACAGUCGGACGAGGAAAUAAGGGAUCUGGUCUUGACAUUGCCAAUCUAUUGAAACCGUCAUUAGGGAGGGGUCAACUACAGUGCAUUGCAUCCACAACUGUAGAUGAAUACCGGAUGCAUUUUGAGAGGGAUAAAGCAUUUGCAAGAAGAUUCCAGCCUGUGUGGAUUGAUGAACCUAGCCAGGAUGAUUCAGUGAGAAUAUUGAUGGGUCUGCGCGAGAAAUAUGAGGCCUAUCACAACUGCAGAUUUACAUUGGAAGCCAUAAAUGCAGCUGUGUAUCUAUCGGCCAAAUACAUAUCUGAUAGGUAUCUUCCUGAUAAAGCUAUUGGUAUCAUUGAUGAGGCUGGGAGUAGAGCCUGUAUCGAAGCCUUCAAGAGGAAGAGAAAACGGCAAACACGCAUACUUUCCAUGCUGCCAGAUGAUUAUUGGCAAGAAAUUAGGACUGUUCACGCUAUGCAGGAAGUGGUCCUGGCGAGUAAGGAACAUGUUGGUGGUUCUAGCAUGGAUAAUACAAAUGAAUCUAUGUCAAAAGUCACAUUGCCUUCCAAUGAUGAUGAACCUAUGGUGGUAGGACCGGAUGAUAUAGCAGCAGUUGUUUCCUUGUGGUCAGGAAUUCAAGUUCUGCAGAUUACUGCUGAUGAAAGAACGCUUCUGUUGGGUCUUGAUGAACAACUUCGGAGACAAGUUGUUGGUCAAGAUGAGGCUGUUUCCGCUAUUUCUCAAGCUCUCAAGAGAUUCCGGGUUGGGCUGAAAGAUCCCAAGAGACCGAUGGCAGUUAUGCUCUUUUGUGGCCCAACCGGGGUUGGCAAAACUCAAUUAACAAAAGCUUUGGCGGGAUGCUAUUUUGGAUCGGAAGCAGCAAUGCUAAGACUUGACAUGAGUGAAUAUAUGGAGGGGCAUUCGGUGAGUAAAUUAAUAGGAUCACCCCCAGGUUAUGUUGGCUAUGGUGAGGGAGGCACUCUAACAGAGGCUAUUAGAAGACGACCUUUCACAGUGAUAUUGCUUGAUGAAAUAGAGAAAGCCCACCGAGAUAUAUUAAACAUCCUCCUCCAUUUGUUUGAAGAUGGCCACCUUACCGAUUCUCAGGGACGGAGAGUAUCAUUUAAGAAUGCAUUGGUGGUGAUGACUUCAAAUGUAGGAUCUACUACCAUUGCUAAGGGUAGACAGAGCUUCUUUGGUUUCUUGAAUACUGCCUAUGAGUCAACUUCAUAUGCUGGAAUGAAAGUAAAGGUAAUGGAAGAACUAAAGGCAUACUUUUGUCCAGAAUUGCUCAACCGCAUAGAUGAAGUAGUUGUGUUUCGUUCCCUCGAAAAGGCUCAGAUGCUUGAGAUUUUUAAUCAUAUGCUGCGAGAGGUGAAGCAAAGGCUCAUAUCUCUAGGAAUUUGUUUAGAGGUAUCUGAAUCAGUCAAGAAUAUGGUGUGCCAACGAGGCUAUGACCAGAUUUAUGGUGCCCGGCAACUGAGGAGAGCUAUAAAUCUUAUGAUUGAGGAUGUCUUGAUUGAAGCGAUCCUUUCGGGAAACUUCAAGCCUGGUGAUACUGCAGUCGUUGAUUUGAAUACUUUUGGAUAUCCAUUUGUCAUAAAUUUAUCAGAUCAUGGACCUCACCCAAUGUCUGAUUCAGCUUCCAUUUUGUAAUAAUCCAUCAUUUCAUGGCUUUCUUUUAGGGUACAACUAUUUAAGCAUCGUUUGUAGUUCAGGAUUUGGAGAAUGUGAAAUGAUAUACGGAGGAGUCAAUAUUGGUCUAAGGCAACGCCAACCCUAUAUGAGUCUAGCCCAAGUAAGGGGCCUAAGGCCCAUCUUUCGGAAAUGAUAGUCGUUCAGAAGAGUUGUGAAUCGUGGACUCUAACUAUCCUAAGUAUUAGGGCGGAUGGAUAUACACUUGCAUUGUGGAUAAAGAUAGAAAGGCACACUAUGCCAUCGACGUUAUUAGUUGUAGGUAGAAGGUCAAAGCCGAUGUUGGGACAUGUCCUUUACAGUGGCACCGUUUGUGGGAUUCUGUAAUCUGUGAUUUCAGUCUUUCAUCGGACUUCAACGUGGUUCCCUCAUGCCGACUGUGACGCAUUCUCAAGCAACUCUUGAUCCUGACACUAUGCCCUU